rnacentral:rRNA from 1 species
CAGGUCUUGACAUCCCACUGCCCGGUGUAGAGAUACACCUUUCCCUUCGGGGACAGUGGUGACAGGUGGUGCAUGGUUGUCGUCAGCUCGUGUCGUGAGAUGUUGGGUUAAGUCCCGCAACGAGCGCAACCCUUGAUCUUAGUUGCCAGCAUUCAGUUGGGCACUCUAAGGUGACUGCCGGUGACAAACCGGAGGAAGGUGGGGAUGACGUCAAGUCCUCAUGGCCUUUAUGUCCAGGGCUACACACGUGCUACAAUGGUUGGUACAAACCGUCGCAAACCCGCGAGGGGGAGCUAAUCGGAAAAAGCCAAUCCCAGUCCGGAUUGGAGUCUGCAACUCGACUCCAUGAAGCUGGAAUCGCUAGUAAUCGCAGAUCAGCACGCUGCGGUGAAUACGUUCCC